GCUGCUGAGCUGUGUGCCGCGCGCUUUUUUUUUUUUUUCUUGCAGGAGACUUGUUGGCUUCGCUAACGGACGUAGUUUUGAACUCGUAUUAGCGCCAUUUAUAGCUGCUUGCACCAGCAUCUUCGGAAUUUGUAGACAUCCUGGCAACUUACAAUUAAUUCGAGGUGAGUUCAUGCAACUUCAAGUUAUCUCUGUUAUAAAAACCCACCAGCCCAGCUUUUAUAGAUCAUUUUAGGAGUUCGUUUUUUAUGAGUGAGGUUGUGAAUUUAGUUAGAGUUUAAACUAUUUGAAUUUUGUAUUGCCCUAAUUAGCAAACAAGUUAAGUGUUGCACUGAACUGUUAACAUUGAAAUUUAAACCGCACUGUCUGUUACAAACAUUACCUGACUUUAACUGUUAUUAUAGCAUUUUGUAGCUGUAAGGUUCUGCAAAAUUGAUGUCACAAGCUUAUGUGCUUGAUUACUUAUGUAAAGUCAUACUUUAAAAAUGAUGCUAUUGCAUUUCUUGUCAUUUAUUCAUUGAAUAUAUUUGCAAUAUAUUUGACUAGCAGCAAGUGUGUCGAGGUCAAAAUAUGUUCAAGACAAUAAAAAUGUCAGUGAAGGACAUCUGAGAUUUUGUUGCAGUGGUUUUCUGAUGCAUGUGUUUAAGGUUUAAGGGUGGUGACACAGCUAAGACCCGAGAGUCUCUUUCAAGACACUGAAUCUGAGCAGAAACCAUAAGGAUACUCAAAGGACCUGUGACUCUCAGGAAAUGCAUCAAAUGAGAGUGACAGGUGAAACCAUUUCAAGACAAUGGCAGGAAAAGCAUGCUAAAGAUUGAAUCAAACCUUGGCUGGAAAUAUUUGAAGGGAUCUAGCCAGUCCACAAUGAAAGCUUCGUUGCCCCCCUGUGAGUCUUCUGGCAGAAAUGAUGGCGCCUGUAUUCUUUGGUUUCCCUAAACAUCACAUCGUGUUUAUACGAGGCUCUUCAAUUAAGUCUGCACCCAAAGAUUCAAUAAGAGAGGGGAUCCUGCCAGUCCAAAGUGAACUCCUGAUGGACAUUGAAGUACUCCUGCAGAGCUUGUAUCUUCGACACCAUGCGCAUUAGAAACUCCACUGAGUGCUUUCCUUCACCAAGGCAGGACCCAGUGACUCAUUACUGUUGAUCGGUCAGGGGCAGGUCAUUUUUUGUUUCAUGUUUAUUAAUUUCUCCAUGGAUUACCAGCCAUAUAUAUGGAAACAUGCUGUAUUCUCAAGAUC